rnacentral:rRNA from 1 species
UACGAAGGGGGCUAGCGUUGUUCGGAAUUACUGGGCGUAAAGGGCGCGUAGGCGGCGCAACAAGUCACUUGUGAAAUCUCCGGGCUUAACCCGGAGCGGUCAAGUGAUACUGUCGUGCUAGAGUGCGGAAGGGGCUACUGGAAUUCUCGGUGUAGCGGUGAAAUGCGUAGAUAUCGAGAGGAACACCUGCGGCGAAGGCGGGUAGCUGGGCCGACACUGACGCUGAUGCGCGAAAGCCCAGGGGAGCGAACGGG